UCUAGGUCUGAGUGAGGCUGGUGGGUGAUGCUGGCUGAGUAGUUUAGAAGAUCCUUUGACGACACCUAGUAGAGGCUUCUUCUGCAGCUGCAGCUGCUCCAGACUCCAAAUCAUCCUUUUUCUAUUCAAAUUUAUCAAAAUAUGGCAUCAACUUUUGCAAUGAGAAAGAGACAAGAACAUUGUGAAACAUCGCACUAGCCUAGUAAUUUCAAAGCCAGGAGUUCUGUUUGCAGAAGUGUAGUCAAUAAUGAGUGUCAAGAGAAACUCCGGAGUCAGGAGCACUAGCUUCCAGAAUCUCUUUUCUGGAGAGUUGUAUGAGGUCCUGAAGACAUUUUCCUUUGAUGGAAGAAGAAAAUGUGGGGAUGCAUGGCGGUUCUUCAAAAAAAAAAAAAAAAAAACCUUCCCCAGCUUUGGUGAACACAGGCUACACAUAAGUUUGCUUUUUUCCUUUUUUCUUUUUCCUUUAAGUAAAAUAAAAAAAAAAAGCUAGCUUGUUUGGAUUGUCUUGAUUUUGAUGCAUUAAUUUGUGUAUUAUAGACUAAUGUUUAGUUUUGAAUGCUCUAAGGAAAAAAAUUACGUGCAGAUUAGCUAUUUAAAUUUCUUCAAACUAGUUUGAAAGCUGUUAACUAUUCAAAUAAUGUAAGUGUGUAUUCUAAUGUCUAAGCUAAGAAUUCUGCAUUUCAGGCUCUCACCACUGGGUCAAACAUCUAUUAUAUGGUCAGUACUAUCUUACUUUUGUGAAGAUGCAGUCUAAUUAAUUAUUAAGUCCACUGAUUAAAUCUGAUUAAUGUUCAGUCUUCAGCCAGUAAGUGUGACUAUCCUGUAAGACUCCCUCCUCUGAGUAUUUGUAGCAAAUGUUAAGAGAAAAAUGGUUAGGCAAAGUAAUCAUGGAUUGUGGUUCAUAAAAUCUCUAAAGUAAAAUUAAAGAGUCACUAUGUGUCAACAACUUUGAGUUACUUCCAUAGAAUAGUUCAAGGCUACUUAGUGGAGAGAAGACAUUUAAAUUAAUGGGUCUUCUGAAACAGAGAGAAAAAUAAUGCUCACAGCUCCACUAUUGUAAGUAACCACAAUAGGGUGUCUUCCUAGCAUUGAAAAUAGUAUGCUUCAGUGUUGAUAAGACUGUUUAGUUGUGAAGUUCUCCUGGGGUUGAGCAUUAUUUUAUAACUACUACUAAAACAGAUC
rnacentral:lncRNA from 1 species